rnacentral:rRNA from 1 species
UACGGAAGGUCCGGGCGUUAUCCGGAUUUAUUGGGUUUAAAGGGAGCGCAGGCCGCCCCUUAAGCGUGUUGUGAAAUGCCGCGGCUCAACCGUGGCACUGCAGCGCGAACUGGGGGGCUUGAGUGCGCCGGAGGUAGGCGGAAUUCGUGGUGUAGCGGUGAAAUGCUUAGAUAUCACGAAGAACUCCGAUUGCGAAGGCAGCCUACCGUAGCGUUACUGACGCUGAGGCUCGAAGGUGCGGGUAUCGA